UUCCCCUGAUGAUCUAAAAAAAGAUACAGCAGUUUAAUCAUUAAAUAAGAGUUACAGUUAAACCAUUUACAGACUUGACACUUAAACCUAGUAUCAUUAAAUGAAGAAAGCUCCAGACUUGAGUUCUUCUAUGAAGGAACUACUGUAUUCAGGCCCCACUGCCGUUAGGGACGAGGGAAAAUCAGAUGCUGGAAAUCCAAGCUGCUGCACGAAUUCAGCAGUUGUCAUGCGAGGGGACUUCCAGUAAGAUGGCAACGUGUAAACGGCGAGUUGGUGUGAAGACGGUGUGCAGUGAAUCCAUAUGCAAGGAGUAAAAGAGAGACGAGUGUGGAUAUCAGACUGCUGGAAAAUGACGCUGGAGACGUCGUAAUGGGGGACAAACAAAUUAAGGAGGAACUUAAGUACUUUGCAUCAAUCUUCACUGUGGAAUACCAGAAAUGCAUAGAGUUAGGGGGCAAAGUGAGUAUUGCUGCUAUUACUCAGCAGAAGGUGCUUGUGAAGCUGAAACGUCUGAAGGUAGAUAGGUCACCUGGACCAGAUGGACUACACUCCAGGGUUCUGAAAGUGGAAGCUGGUGGAGGCAUUAGUCAUGAUCUUUCAAGAACCACUAGAUUCAGGAACCACUGGAAUGGUUCCACAGGACUGGAAAAUUGCAAAUGCCACACCACUCUUCAAGAGGGGAGGACAGCAGAAGAAAGGAAAUUAUAGUCCAGUUCGCUGGAGUUCAGUAGCUGGAAAAAUAUUGCAGUCUAUUAAGGAUGAGGUUGUAGGGUACUUGUAGGCACAUGAUAAAAUAGGCCGAAGACAGCGUGGUUUCCUUAAAGGGAAAUCUUGUCUGACAAUCUGUUGGAAUUCUUUGAGGAAAUAACAGGCAGGAUAAACAAAGGAGAGUAAUUGGAUGUUGUUUAUUUGGAUUUUCAGAAGGCCUUUGACAAGGUGACGCACGUGAGGCUGCUUAGCAAGAUAAGAGCCUGUGGUAUUACAGGAAAGGUAGUAACAUGAGUAGAGGAUUGUCUGACUAGCAGGAGGCAAAGAGUGGGAAUAAAGGGAGGCCCUUUCUGGUUGGCUGCCGGUGACUAGUGGUGUUCCACAGGUUUAUGUGAAAGAUAUUAGAAGGAAUAGAAUAUUGGCAGACUGGCAGGAAGCUCAGAGUGGGAAUGAAGAAAGCCUUUUCUGAUUGGCUGCCUUGUGUAGUGUUCUGCAGUGUUCAGAGUUGGGACAACUUCUUUUUAUGUUGUACCUCAAUGAUUUUGAUAACGAAAUUGAUGACUUUGUGGCCUAGUUUGUUGACAACACAAAGCUGGGUGGCGGGGCAAGUAGUAUUGAGGAAGCAGGGUGACUGCAGAAAGACUUAGAAAGAUUGGGAGCCUGGGCAAAGAAAUGGCAGAUGGAAUAUAACGUAGGGAAGAGCAUGCUUUGGCAGAUGGAAUAAAGACAUGGACUAUUUUGUAAACGGGGAAAAAAUUAUAAUGGGACUUGAGAAUCCUUGUGCAGGAUUCCCUAAAGGUUAACUUGCAGGUUGAGCCAAGUUAUUACAGGAAGGUAUCUAUAAUACCAUGGGCUCUUAACCUUUUGAGCAGCCUAAUGUGUGGCGCCUUUUGGAAGGCCUUCUGAGAAUCAAAACAAUAAUCCUUUGUCUAUCCUGCCUGUUACUUCCUCAAAGAACUUCAACACAUUUGUUAGGCAAGAUUUCCUUCUAAAAGAAACCAUUCUGCAAAAUAAGGAAGGCAAAUUCAAAGUUAGCAUUCUUUACAGGAGGUCUAGAAUACAAGAGCAAAGAUGUAAUGCUACAGAUUUAUAAAGGCAUUGGUCAGACUACAUUUGGAGUAGGGUGGCCACGUUUGUGCCCCUUAUCCAAGAAAGGGUAAGCUGGCAUUGGAGAGAGUCCAGAAGAGAUUCACGAGAAUGAUUCUGGGAAUGAAAGGGUUAACACACGAGGAGCACCAGAUGACUCUGGCCCUGUAAUCAAUGGAGUUUAAAAGAAUCGGGCCAGAUCUCAUUGAAAUCUAUUGAAUAUUGAAAGGUCAAGAUAGAAUGGAUAUGGACAGAAUGUUUCCUAUAAUGAGGGAGUCUUAGACCAGAAGGUUGAGCCUCAGAACUGACGAACGUCCAUUUAGAACAGAGAGGAGGAAAAAUUUCUUUAGCCAGUGGGUGGUGAAUCUGUGGAAUUCUUUACCACAGAUGGCUGUUGAGGCCAAGUCAUUUGAUAUAUUUAAGGCAGAGGUUGAUUUAAGGCUAGUUCAUAGGUUCUUGAUUAAUCAGGGCAUCAAAAGUUAUGAGGAAAAGGCAGGAGAAUGGGAUUCAGGGGAUAAUAAAUCAGGCAUGAUGGAAUAGCAAAGCAGAAUUGAUGGGCUGAAUGGCCUAAUUCUGCUCCUAGCUCUUAUAGGAGAAAAACUUAUCAGAAUAGCAGAAAUUCAAACAGAUUUGCUUGCUUGAAUCAGAUUGCUUUACUACCCAUUCUAACAUCUACUGUAUAUUAUGUUUUAGAGAAAUAAUACU